rnacentral:rRNA from 1 species
UACGCAGCUUGCCUCCUUUGACGUUAGCGGCGGACGGGUGAGUAACACGUGGGUAACCUACCUAUAAGACUGGGAUAACUUCGGGAAACCGGAGCUAAUACCGGAUAACAUUUGGAACCGCAUGGUUCUAAAGUGAAAGAUGGUUUUGCUAUCACUUAUAGAUGGACCCGCGCCGUAUUAGCUAGUUGGUAAGGUAACGGCUUACCAAGGCGACGAUACGUAGCCGACCUGAGAGGGUGAUCGGCCACACUGGAACUGAGACACGGUCCAGACUCCUACGGGAGGCAGCAGUAGGGAAUCUUCCGCAAUGGGCGAAAGCCUGACGGAGCAACGCCGCGUGAGUGAUGAAGGGUUUCGGCUCGUAAAACUCUGUUAUUAGGGAAGAACAAAUGUGUAAGUAACUGUGCACAUCUUGACGGUACCUAAUCAGAAAGCCACGGCUAACUACGUGCCAGCAGCCGCGGUAAUACGUAGGUGGCAAGCGUUAUCCGGAAUUAUUGGGCGUAAAGCGCGCGUAGGCGGUUUCUUAAGUCUGAUGUGAAAGCCCACGGCUCAACCGUGGAGGGUCAUUGGAAACUGGGAAACUUGAGUGCAGAAGAGGAAAGUGGAAUUCCAUGUGUAGCGGUGAAAUGCGCAGAGAUUUGGAGGAACACCAGUGGCGAAAGGCGACUUUCUGGUCUGUAACUGACGCUGAUGUGCGAAAGCGUGGGGAUCAAACAAGGAUUAGAUACCCUGGUAGUCCACGCCCGU